rnacentral:misc_RNA from 1 species
GAUGUUGGAAUGUUAAUUCUCCAGAGUUAUGAGAUAAAAUUCUGUUUGCGCUGGAUUGUUCUAUUACUGUCUUCAUUUGGAAUAGUUUUAGGCUGUGAAACGUGAAACUCAUAUGGAUAUUCCUCUUCUUAUGUUGGUGCAUGGGAUAAUCAUAAGCAUUUAUUCUACUAUAUGUAGUUUGGUAACAUCCAUCUCCAUUACCUGAA